ensembl:misc_RNA 7SK 7SK RNA
GGAUGUGAGGGCGAUCUGGCUUCAACAUCUGUCACCCCAUUGAUCGCCAGGGUUCAUUUGGCUGAUCUGGCUGGCUAGGCGGGUGUCCCCUUCCUCCCUCACCACUCCAUGUGCGUCCCUCCCAAAGCUGCGCACUCGGUCGAAGAGGACGGUGUUUCCUGAACAGAGAUGGACUGGUCUUCGGUCAAGGAUAUACGAGUAGCUGCGCUCCCCUGCUAGAACCUCCAAACAAGCUCUCAAGAAUACCUCCUAGGGCAUGGCCUGGAGUUCAGAGCCAACAUUUGUUAUGAGUUGUACUUACAACAUAGUUG